rnacentral:rRNA from 1 species
AGUUAGGAUUUAAAGCUUAACUAGCUAUAUGCACGUAGUCGUAACUGAAAGGUUGAUCGACCACAGUGGGCCUGAAUAAAGCCCAUGACGAUUGUCACAGCAGUGAGGAAUAUUGGUCAAUAGCCUAACGGCUGAACCAGCAACUUGGAGGAAUGUAUAGCAAUAGCUACUUGCAUCAUUGUAAAUAUGAUGCAAGAUCGACUAUGUGGAAUAAAAUUCUAGGUAGAAUUAUGAUAAUGACAUUGUCUGCCUAUGUGUCUUGACCAAAUUACGUGCCAGCAGUCGCGGUAAUACGUAGAAGACUAGUGUUAUUCAUGUUUAAUCGGUUUAAAGGGUACCUAGACGGUAAAUCAAGCCUAAAAGGAAAUAAAUGAAGGGACUAAUUUACUAGAGUUACUUAUGAGGGGGUAUUAAAGUACUGCUGGUGUAGAGAUGAAAUUCUGUCAUACCUCUUUUCAAUAGAAAAAUAACGGCACAGGUAUAGGCGAAAGCAUCCCCUUAUGUGAUAACUGACGUUGAGGGACGAAGGCUUUGUGUAGCGAACAGGAUUAGAUACCCCAGUAGUCAAAGCAGAAAAUGAUGAAUGUCAUAGAUUAGAUAUAUAAGUUUAUUCUAUAAAUGAAAGUGUAAGCAUUCCACCUCAAGAGUAAUUUGGCAACAUUGGAACUGAAAUCAUUAGACCGUUUCUGAAACCAGUAGUGAAGUAUGUUGUUUAAUUUGAUGAUCCGCAAAAAACCUUACCACAAUUUGAAUAUUUAUAUCUUUUAUUG